CCCUUAGAUGUUCUGGGCCGCACGCGCGCUACACUGACGAUGGCAACGAGUUUUUCCUUCGCCGAAAGGUGUGGGUAAUCUUUUGAAACAUCGUCGUGCUGGGGAUAGAUCAUUGCAAUUUUUGAUCUUGAACGAGGAAUUCCUAGUAAGCGCGGGUCAUCAUCCCGCGCUGAAUACGUCCCUGCCCUUUGUACACACCGCCCGUCGCUCCUACCGAUUGAGUGGUCCGGUGAGGCUUUGGGAUCUGAGCGGAAAGAGCGUUUCGCUGUUUCUGCUCGGAAAACUCAGUCGAACCUUAUCAUUUAGAGGAAGGAGAAGUCGUAACA
rnacentral:rRNA from 1 species